AUUUGUAUAGUUUAUAAAAACAUUAUAUUUUCAAUAUAAAAAUGAAAUUUAACAUUUCUAUAAAUU
rnacentral:tRNA from 1 species